ensembl:lncRNA
GAGCAGACCUCCUGGAGUCGUACAUGAGCUACCUGGACGGACAGACGUUUGACAUGCACAACGCCACAGCCGCCGUCUCCACCUACCCCAAAUCAGGCAGGUUCAGGGAGGGGGGGCGUGCGGCCGAACUACGCAGAGAGACCGGUACCGCCCCGCCCUCCUUCCAGUCACACAGACGGAGGGAUGAUGAGGAAGAGGAGGAGGAGGGCGAGGAAGGAGAGGAGGAGGACGAUGGAGGACGGGAGGGUUAUGGGAUGACACAGAAUUUGGGGCGUCCCACGUCACCCUACUUUGACCGGCCCCGGACCCCUGAGAUGAAGCCUCUGUGGGGGUCAGAGGGUCAGUUAGUAGGGGACCAGGGGACCUACCUGGAGGGCCGGAGGCUGUACCCCCCCAUAUCCAGCAUGAAGGCCAGCAUCAUCAAUGAGCUCAGCAACAAACUGCAGCAGAGAGGGAGCCAGAGAUCACUAAGUAGACACAGGUUUUCAGAAGACUCCGCCUCGGCCCUGAGCCCCCCCUCAGUUCGUUCCCUGUCCCCCUCCCCUAUCCACCACUCCCAGCCCGCCCUGUCCCUGUCCCCCACCCCUUCCUCCCAGUACCCCAACUGGAACCGUCCCCGUCCCCCCAGCCCUCUGUGGCUGCCGUACAGCCCCCUCCACGCUCCCACUCUCCCCUGUCCUCCCCACCUACUCCCCUUAUCCCACCUCCCCUAAACACCGGCCUGUGUAUCGCACCAAAGCCCUGGAGUUCCAGUUCAUUCCAAGUAGAGAGUCCAGGAAGGCAGAGUCCCACCACCUGCAGCGUAGGAGAGCCCCCAGUCCCCUCAUCUCCCCUCAGAGAGGCCCAAACUGGGUCCCCCCCCCCUCCUCCCUCCCCCUCCUCCCCCACCACACCCCUCUACAGCAGCCUCUAUGAGCUUCGCGGCUCUAUGACCCCGCCCUCACCCGCUAACCACAUGGGGGACCCCUACUUCUCCCCUUCCCCUCCUCUCUUCGCCCCCUCUGGUGCCCCUCCUCCCCCAAACGCCUCCCUGUUGGUGUCUCGCUCCCUCUCCCCACACACUUUUUAUCUGGUAGCUCAUCCCCUCCCCUGCACCCUCUCCCCGCUCCCCCUGCCUGAGCUACCCCCACCUCCCUCCCCCAGCCCCCUCCAAGCCCUUUGCCUCCAAGCCACUGCCUUAUUGGACCAAAUACGACGUGGCUGAUUGGCUGGGAUACCUGAACCUGGGCGAGCACAGGGAGCAUUUCCUGGACAACGAGAUCGACGGCACUCACCUGCCCUCCCUCACCAAGGAGGACUAUCUGGACCUGGGGGUGACGCGUGUCGGACAGCGCAUGAACAUCGCCCGCGCUCUGAAGAGAGUGACUGACAGGCUCUCCAGCUCUCCUUUUCCCAUUUCUGCUCUGUCACCACGAGGAAGAAGAGAUGAUGGGAGUCGGAGCUGAGAAGACAAACAGAAAGAGAAAGGAGGGGGGAUGGAGUCAGUGAGGGAACAGGAGAGAGAGAGGCCACAACUGCUGCUAUCCAUGAUGGAUUCACACAACAAAAGCAAAGGACCUGAUUUCACCCAGAGGGAGGACCGAUCAGGAAAAGAGAGGGGAAAUGAGGGAUGGAACAAGGGCUGACCAAUGCCUGGUACUCAGGGCCUGGUAGCUGACUCUCACAGAUACACUCGCAUGCACACAAAUACAGUAACACACACAAGCACUGACUCUAAUGUCAACACACACACACAAACACUACGAGGAUGGAAUGACUGAAUGUACAUUGAGGCAACAAAUAACAAUAUGAGUAAAACAGUGACAAAACUUUGCCCAAAAUAUUGAGAGAAACAAUCAAGUUGUUUAGCUUUUUCAUCUGAGCAGUUCUUAGUGUUGUUGGGGAAAGAGAGAACAAGGAUUGUCCUCAUUAUUAACACUAGUUAGAGCUUUCUCCACCUGUCU